GGACGAACGCUGGCGGCGUGCUUAACACAUGCAAGUCGAACGGACUUUAUAUGAAGCCUAGCGAUUAUAAAGUUAGUGGCGGACGGGUGAGUAACGCGUGAAUAACCUGCCCUGUACCGGGGGACAACAGUUGGAAACGGCUGCUAAUACCGCAUAAGCGCACGGUUCCGCAUGGAACAGUGUGAAAAACUCCGGUGGUACAGGAUGGAUUCGCGUCUGAUUAGCCAGUUGGUGGGGUAACGGCCUACCAAAGCAACGAUCAGUAGCCGGCCUGAGAGGGUGAACGGCCACAUUGGGACUGAGACACGGCCCAAACUCCUACGGGAGGCAGCAGUGGGGAAUAUUGCACAAUGGGGGAAACCCUGAUGCAGCGACGCCGCGUGAGUGAAGAAGUUAUUCGUAACGUAAAGCUCUAUCAGCAGGGAAGAAAAUGACGGUACCUGACUAAGAAGCCCCGGCUAACUACGUG
rnacentral:rRNA from 1 species